UACGGGGGGUGCGAGCGUUGUCCGGAAUUAUUGGGCGUAAAGAGCUCGUAGGCGGUGUGUCGCGUCGGCCGUGAAAACCUGCAGCUUAACUGUGGGCUUGCGGUCGAUACGGGCAUCACUGGAGUUCGGCAGGGGAGACUGGAAUUCCUGGUGUAGCGGUGAAAUGCGCAGAUAUCAGGAGGAACACCGGUGGCGAAGGCGGGUCUCUGGGCCGAUACUGACGCUGAGGAGCGAAAGCGUGGGGAGCGAACAGG
rnacentral:rRNA from 1 species